GACGAACGCUGGCGGCGCGCUUAACACAUGCAAGUCGAACGGAAAGGCCUGCUUUCCCUUGUGGAUUGCGGGUACUCGAGUGGCGAACGGGUGAGUAACACGUGAGUGAUCUGCCCCCAACUUGGGUAUAAGCCUGGGAAACUGGGUCUAAUUCCCGAUAGGACUGCAGGGUGGUGCCUGUGGUGGAAAACGAUUUUCUAGUGGUUGGGGAUGAGCUCGCGGCCUAUCAGCUUGUUGGUGGGGUAAUGGCCUACCAAGGCGGCGACGGGUAGCCGGCCUGAGAGGGUGGACGGCCACAUUGGGACUGAGAUACGGCCCAGACUCGUACGGGAGGCAGCAGUGGGGAAUAUUGGACAAUGGGCGGAAGCCUGAUGCAGCGACGCCGCGUGGGGGAUGACGGCCUUCGGGUUGUAAACUCCUUUCGACCGCGAGGAAGCCACCUGGUUGGAAGGGUGGUGACGGUAGUGGUAGAAGAAGCACCGGCUAACUACGUG
rnacentral:rRNA from 1 species